GACGGAGGGGGCAAGCGUUGUCCGGAGUGACUGGGCGUAAAGCGUCCGUAGGCGGUGGCGUGCGUCGGUGCUGAAAGCGCCCGGCUUAACCGGGCGAGGCGUGCCGAUACGACGCGACUGGAGGCCGAGAGAGGGUGGCGGAAUUCCGGGUGUAGUGGUGAAAUGCGUAGAGCUCCGGAGGAACGCCGGUGGCGCAAGCGGCCACCUGGCUCGGACCUGACGCUGAGGGACGAAAGCGUGGGGAGCGAACCGGAUUAGAAACCCCCGUAGUCC
rnacentral:rRNA from 1 species